CAGUAGCCACGGUAAUACGUAGGUCCCGAGCGUUGUCCGGAUUUAUUGGGCGUAAAGGGAGCGCAGGCGGUUUAGUAAGUCUGAAGUUAAAGGCAUUGGCUCAACCAAUGUAUGCUUUGGAAACUGUUAGACUUGAGUGCAGAAGGGGAGAAUGGAAUUCCAUGUGUAGCGGUGAAAUGCGUAGAUAUAUGGAGGAACACCGGUGGCGAAAGCGGCUCUCUGGUCUGUCACUGACGCUGAGGCUCGAAAGCGUGGGUAGCGAACAGGAUUAGAUACCCCAGUAGUCCCUGUCUCUUAUACA
rnacentral:rRNA from 1 species